ACCAGACUCCUACGGGAGGCAGCAGUGGGGAAUAUUGCACAAUGGGGGAAACCCUGAUGCAGCGACGCCGCGUGAGUGAAGAAGUAUUUCGGUAUGUAAAGCUCUAUCAGCAGGAACGAGACAAGACGGUACCUGACUAAGAAGCCCCGGCUAACUACGUGCCAGCAGCCGCGGUAAUACGUAGGGGGCAAGCGUUAUCCGGAAUCACUGGGUGUAAAGGGAGCGUAGACGGCUGUGCAAGCCUGAAGUGAAAGGCGGGGGCCCAACCCCUGGACUGCUUUGGGAACUGUACGGCUGGAGUGCAGGAGAGGUAAGUGGAAUUCCUAGUGUAGCGGUGAAAUGCGUAGAUAUUAGGAGGAACACCAGUGGCGAAGGCGGCUUACUGGACUGUAACUGACGUUGAGGCUCGAAAGCGUGGGGAGCAAACAGGAUUAGAUACCCAGGUAAC
rnacentral:rRNA from 1 species